UACGGAGGGUGCAAGCGUUAAUCGGAAUUACUGGGCGUAAAGCGUGCGUAGGCGGUUCGUUAAGUCUGUUGUGAAAGCCCCGGGCUCAACCUGGGAAUGGCAAUGGAUACUGGCGAGCUAGAGUGUGUCAGAGGAUGGUGGAAUUCCCGGUGUAGCGAUGAAAUGCGUAGAGAUCGGGAGGAACAUCAGUGGCGAAGGCGGCCAUCUGGGGACAACACUGACGCUGAGGCACGAAAGCGUGGGGAGCAAACAGG
rnacentral:rRNA from 1 species